rnacentral:lncRNA from 1 species
GGCAUCUUUGGUUUUGGUAUUGCAAUAGGUUGCAAGACUUAUUUCUAUCAUUUAGAGCUAGUAUUGUAAGUCACAACACAUUUUGAUGCAUAUCGUGGCAAAAUUAUUUGAUCUUAUCUUUAUGGUGGAUGAAUUGGCCCAUCAUAUGAAAGUGUUGGAGGCUUUAAGAAAACCAACUUUGAGAUUUCAAUUUAUCAAAAGGCAA